AUUGAACGCUGGCGGCAUGCCUUACACAUGCAAGUCGAACGGUAACAGGUCUUCGGAUGCUGACGAGUGGCGAACGGGUGAGUAAUACAUCGGAACGUGCCUAGUAGUGGGGGAUAACUACUCGAAAGAGUGGCUAAUACCGCAUGAGAUCUACGGAUGAAAGCAGGGGAUCGCAAGACCUUGUGCUACUAAAGCGGCCGAUGGCAGAUUAGGUAGUUGGUGGGAUAAAAGCUUACCAAGCCGACGAUCUGUAGCUGGUCUGAGAGGACGAUCAGCCACACUGGGACUGAGACACGGCCCAGACUCCUACGGGAGGCAGCAGUGGGGAAUUUUGGACAAUGGGCGAAAGCCUGAUCCAGCAAUGCCGCGUGCAGGAUGAAGGCCUUCGGGUUGCAAACUGCUUUUGUACGGAACGAAAAGCCCCGGGUUAAUACCCUGGGGUCAUGACGGUACCGUAAGAAUAAGCACCGGCUAACUACGUGCCAGCAGCCACCGUAA
rnacentral:rRNA from 1 species